CUGAGACUGAACUUGGAUGCAAACUGCUGUAGCUGCCAUUGUCAAGCUGUCAGCGGACUCGUGUAAUUAUCCUCUUGAAAAGUAUCGCGGAGCCAUUAUCCACAAAGUACCCGUUAUAGGUGCUCAGAGGCAACACAUGACGAGGGGCCGACGCACCUUCAGCAUCCAGUGACAACGUCCACGGGAAGGCAAAGAUGAACCGGCCUUUCUGAUCAAAGGACCCGUCUAUAAAGCUCAAGGCUGGCCUUCCUACACGGGCCUCACCAUGCACGACCCUUUGUAACCCAAGCUGCUCAGAUUGAUGGGAGGAUGGCUCUCAUUUGGACCAGGAGAAAAGUGGCCAGUUUAAGGGCUGCUACUGUAUUUUAAAACGGCACUGGUGUUAAAGAGACUGAUGUGCCUGGUGGCGUCGGCGGCAACGGUGACCCUCCCCCCCUGGCUGGGAGCAAAACUCCCAUUGGAAGAAUAAGAGAGAAGAAGGGGGAAGGAGGGGGAGAGGACGGGAAUGAAUCUGCGUGGCGGCGGGAAUCGAUCGUUUCUCCCUCCUUCCCGCGCUAUCUCAUCUGCAGCGGCUGAGAGAGGCAGAGCGGUUUAAACGAUCCUGACCUUGUCCGACAUAAAUAGUCAGAAAAGUCCACAGAGCUGAUAGCUUU